rnacentral:rRNA from 1 species
UACGUAGGGUGCGAGCGUUAAUCGGAAUUACUGGGCGUAAAGCGUGCGCAGGCGGUUCGUUGUGUCGGUGGUGAAAGCCCCGGGCUUAACCUGGGAAUGGCCAUGGAAACUGGCGAACUGGAGUGUGGCAGAGGGGGGUGGAAUUCCGCGUGUAGCAGUGAAAUGCGUAGAGAUGCGGAGGAACACCGAUGGCGAAGGCGGCAUCCUGGACCGAUAUUGACGCUGAUGCGCGAAAGCCAGGGGAGCAAACGGG